rnacentral:rRNA from 1 species
UUUAGAGUUUGAUUCCCUGCUCAGAACGAACGCUGGCGGCAGGCUUAACACAUGCAAGUCGAGCGAGACCUUCGGGUCUAGCGGCGGACGGGUGAGUAACGCGUGGGAACGUGCCCUUCUCUACGGAAUAGCCCCGGGAAACUGGGAGUAAUACCGUAUACGCCCUUUGGGGGAAAGAUUUAUCGGAGAAGGAUCGGCCCGCGUUGGAUUAGGUAGUUGGUGAGGUAACGGCUCACCAAGCCGACGAUCCAUAGCUGGUUUGAGAGGAUGAUCAGCCACACUGGGACUGAGACACGGCCCAGACUCCUACGGGAGGCAGCAGUGGGGAAUCUUAGACAAUGGGGGCAACCCUGAUCUAGCCAUGCCGCGUGAGUGAUGAAGGCCUUAGGGUUGUAAAGCUCUUUCAGCUGGGAAGAUAAUGACGUACCAGCAGAAGAGCCCCG